rnacentral:rRNA from 1 species
CUAAGUUUGAUGGCGACCGGCGCACGGGUGAGUAACACGUAUCCAACCUGCCGAUGACUCGGGGAUAGCCUUUCGAAAGAAAGAUUAAUACCCGAUGGCAUAGUUCUUCCGCAUGGUAGAACUAUUAAAGAAUUUCGGUCAUCGAUGGGGAUGCGUUCCAUUAGGUUGUUGGCGGGGUAACGGCCCACCAAGCCUUCGAUGGAUAGGGGUUCCGAGAGGAAGGUCCCCCACAUUGGAACUGAGACACGGUCCAA